UACGAAGGAUCCAAGCGUUGUCCGGAUUUACUGGGUUUAAAGGGUGCGUAGGUGGACUAAUAAGUCAGUGGUGAAAGCCUGCAGCUUAACUGUAGAAUUGCCAUUGAAACUGUUAGUCUCGAGUAUGGUUGAGGUUACUGGAAUAUAUCAUGUAGCGGUGAAAUGCUUAGAUAUGAUAUAGAACACCAAUUGCGAAGGCAGGUAACUAAGCCAUAACUGACACUGAGGCACGAAAGCGUGGGGAUCAAACAGG
rnacentral:rRNA from 1 species